rnacentral:tRNA from 1 species
GCGCUCGUAGUUCAAUCGGAUAGAACACCAGAUUGCGGAUCUGGUGGUUGAGAGUUCGAGUCUCUCCGAGCGCA